AUUGAACGCUGGCGGCAGGCUUAACACAUGCAAGUCGAGCGGGCGAGGUUGCUUCGGUAACUGAGCUAGCGGCGGACGGGUGAGUAAUGCUUAGGAAUCUGCCUAUUAGUGGGGGACAACAUUCCGAAAGGAAUGCUAAUACCGCAUACGCCCUACGGGGGAAAGCAGGGGAUCUUCGGACCUUGCGCUAAUAGAUGAGCCUAAGUCAGAUUAGCUAGUUGGUGGGGUAAAGGCCUACCAAGGCGACGAUCUGUAGCGGGUCUGAGAGGAUGAUCCGCCACACUGGGACUGAGACACGGCCCAGACUCCUACGGGAGGCAGCAGUGGGGAAUAUUGGACAAUGGGAGCAAGCCUGAUCCAGCCAUGCCGCGUGUGUGAAGAAGGCCUUUUGGUUGUAAAGCACUUUAAGCGAGGAGGAGGCUACAUGGAUUAAUACUCUGGGAUAGUGGACGUUACUCGCAGAAUAAGCACCGGCUAACUCUGUG
rnacentral:rRNA from 1 species